rnacentral:rRNA from 1 species
GUACGGGGGGGGCAAGCGUUGUUCGGAAUUACUGGGCGUAAAGGGCGUCGUAGGCGGCCAACUAAGUCGGAUGUGAAAUCCCCAGGCUCAACCUGGGAACUGCAUCCGAUACUGGAUGGCUUGAAUCCGGGAGAGGGAUGCAGAAUUCCAGGUGUAGCGGUGAAAUGCGUAGAUAUCUGGAGGAAUACCGGUGGCGAAGGCGGCAUCCUGGACCGGCAUUGACGCUGAGGAGCGAAAGCUAGGGGAGCAAACGGG